rnacentral:rRNA from 1 species
GUCCUAGCCGUAAACGAUGGAUACUAGGUGUUGGUGGUAUCAACCCCACCAGUGCCGAAGCUAACGCAUUAAGUAUCCCGCCUGGGGGAGUACGGCCGCAAGGCUAAAAACUCAAAGGAAUUGACGGGGCCCCGCACAAGCAGCGGAGCGUGGGGUUUAAUUCGAUGCAACGCGAAGAACCUUACCAGGGCUUGACAUGACCAGGAAUCCGGCGGAAACGUCGGCGUCCCGCAAGGGACCUGGCCACAGGUGUUGCAUGGCUGUCGU